rnacentral:miRNA from 1 species
AAGAGAGCUAUCCAUAGACAGU